GAUCAACAGCGUCCAUAACCGUCCCCUGAUCUGCUCCUCUGCAGGUCAGACACCUUCAGCGGCGCGCGGAGGAAACGGAGCGUGUGCAGAGAGAGACGGUGCGGGGCUAUGAGGACCGGCUGGGAUGUCUUCGUUCAGAGUUGGAGAAGCUGAAGGUCAGCUUUGCUAGACUGCAGGGACCCCGCAGGAGUGAGGGGGCAAGGAUGACACAGGAGCAGGACAGCUCCUUCGAGAGCCCCGCAUUGAGCGUGAAGCUGGAGGAGUUAAAGGUGAAGUCCAGGGAGUGGGAGAAGCAAAGGGGCCUGCGUCAGAAGGACCUGGCUGCUUUAGAAGCCAACAGAAAGUUACUGGCUGUAAAGUGCCACCAUCUCCAG